CAGUAGCCGCGGGAAUACAGAGGGUGCGAGCGUUAAUCGGAUUUACUGGGCGUAAAGCGUGCGUAGGCGGCUUCUUAAGUCGGAUGUGAAAUCCCUGAGCUUAACUUAGGAAUUGCAUUCGAUACUGGGAAGCUAGAGUAUGGGAGAGGAUGGUAGAAUUCCAGGUGUAGCGGUGAAAUGCGUAGAGAUCUGGAGGAAUACCGAUGGCGAAGGCAGCCAUCUGGCCUAAUACUGACGCUGAGGUACGAAAGCAUGGGGAGCAAACAGGAUUAGAUACCCCCGUAGUCCCUGUCUCUUAUAU
rnacentral:rRNA from 1 species